UACGAAGGGGGCUAGCGUUGCUCGGAAUUACUGGGCGUAAAGCGCACGUAGGCGGUUUAUCAAGUUGGAAGUGAAAGCCCAAAGCUUAACUUUGGAAUUGCUUUCAAAACUGGUAGACUAGAGAUUGGUAGAGGGUAGUGGAAUUCCUGGUGUAGAGGUGAAAUUCGUAGAUAUCAGGAGGAACACCGGUGGCGAAGGCGGCUACCUGGGCCAAAUCUGACGCUAAGGUGCGAAAGCGUGGGGAGCAAACAGG
rnacentral:rRNA from 1 species